UGAACGCUGGCGGCGUGCUUAACACAUGCAAGUCGAACGGGAAACCUUUUAAUGAAGCUUCGGCAGAUUUAGCUGGUUUCUAGUGGCGGACGGGUGAGUAACGCGUGGGUAACCUGCCUUAUACAGGGGGAUAACAGUCAGAAAUGACUGCUAAUACCGCAUAAGCGCACAGGACCGCAUGGUCCGGUGUGAAAAACUCCGGUGGUAUAAGAUGGACCCGCGUUGGAUUAGCUUGUUGGUGGGGUAACGGCUCACCAAGGCGACGAUCCAUAGCCGGCCUGAGAGGGUGAACGGCCACAUUGGGACUGAGACACGGCCCAGACUCCUACGGGAAGCAGCAGUGGGGAAUAUUGCACAAUGGGGGAAACCCUGAUGCAGCGACGCCGCGUGAAGGAAGAAGUAUCUCGGUAUGUAAACUUCUAUCAGCAGGGAAGAUAGUGACGGUACCUGACUAAGAAGCCCCGGCUAACUACGUG
rnacentral:rRNA from 1 species